rnacentral:rRNA from 1 species
GAUGAACGCUGGCGGCGUGCCUAAUACAUGCAAGUCGAGCGAACGGACGAGAAGCUUGCUUUUCUGAUGUUAGCGGCGGACGGGUGAGUAACACGUGGAUAACCUACCUAUAAGACUGGGAUAACUUCGGGAAACCGGAGCUAAUACCGGAUAAUAUUUUGAACCGCAUGGUUCAAAAGUGAAAGACGGUCUUGCUGUCACUUAUAGAUGGAUCCGCGCUGCAUUAGCUAGUUGGUAAGGUAACGGCUUACCAAGGCAACGAUGCAUAGCCGACCUGAGAGGGUGAUCGGCAACACUGGAACUGAGACACGGUCCAGACUCGUACGGGAGGCAGCAGUAGGGAAUCUUCCGCAAUGGGCGAAAGCCUGACGGAGCAACGCCGCGUGAGUGAUGAAGGUCUUCGGAUCGUAAAACUCUGUUAUUAGGGAAGAACAUAUGUGUAAGUAACUGUGCACAUCUUGACGGUACCUAAUCAGAAAGCCACGGCUAACUACGUG